rnacentral:rRNA from 1 species
UGGGGAAUAUUGGGCAAUGGGCGCAAGCCUGACCCAGCAACGCCGCGUGAAGGAUGAAGGUUUUCGGAUUGUAAACUUCUUUUAAGAGGGACGAUAAUGACGGUACCUCUUGAAUAAGCCCCGGCUAACUACGUGCCAGCAGCCGCGGUAAUACGUAGGGGGCAAGCGUUAUCCGGAUUUACUGGGUGUAAAGGGCGUGUAGGCGGGAUUUCAAGUCAGAUGUGAAAACCGAAGGCUCAACCUUCGGCCUGCAUUGGAAACUGUGGGACUUGAGUGUCGGAGGGGCAAGUGGAAUUCCUAGUGUAGCGGUGAAAUGCGUAGAUAUUAGGAGGAACACCAGUGGCGAAGGCGGCUUGCUGGACGACAACUGACGCUGAGGCUCGAAAGCGUGGGGAGCAAACAGGAUUAGAUACCCUGGUAGU